CACCUGACAAAGAGAAACACACAGGACACACAGGUCGACAGCUCUCAAUCACAUCCAGGGCAUAAAGUUAACACUCGACACCUGACAAAGAGAAACACACAGGACACACAGGUCGACAGCUCUCAAUCACAUCCAGGGCAUAAAGUUAACACUCGACACCUGACAAAGAGAAACACACAGGACACACAGGUCGACAGCUCUCAAUCACAUCCAGGGCAUAAAGUUAACACUCGACACCUGACAAAGAGAAACACACAGGACACACAGGUCGACAGCUCUCAAUCACAUCCAGGGCAUAAAGUUAACACCCAACACCUGCGGGUAAAAUGUAUAUUUCACCAACCCCAUUGGCGGGUGGUCAAUGUGCAGGACUCUACAGUGGGAGCAUUACAUUCCUGAAUAAAAAGUCCAAAGUCAAGUAUGAGCACAUGUGAGGUAGUGUUCAGAAAAUGUUGCAGUAUCUGUUUUUAAAGUAUUUAAAGUAUUUUGUUUCAAAGCUGCUAAUUCCACAAAGAAAUAUCAAACCUACAGUUGAAGUCGGAAGUUUUCAUACACGUGGGUUGGAGUCAUUAAAACUCAUUUUUCAACCACUCCACAAAUAUCUUGUUAACAAAAUAUAGUUUUGGC